GGUUAAGCGACUAAGCGUACACGGUGGAUGCCCUGGCAGUCAGAGGCGAUGAAGGACGUGCUAAUCUGCGAUAAGCGUCGGUAAGGUGAUAUGAACCGUUAUAACCGGCGAUUUCCGAAUGGGGAAACCCAGUGUGAUUCGUCACACUAUCAUUAACUGAAUCCAUAGGUUAAUGAGGCGAACCGGGGGAACUGAAACAUCUAAGUACCCCGAGGAAAAGAAAUCAACCGAGAUUCCCCCAGUAGCGGCGAGCGAACGGGGAGCAGCCCAGAGCCUGAAUCAGUGUGUGUGUUAGUGGAAGCGUCUGGAAAGGCGCGCGAUACAGGGUGACAGCCCCGUACACAAAAAUGCACAUACUGUGAGCUCGAUGAGUAGGGCGGGACACGUGGUAUCCUGUCUGAAUAUGGGGGGACCAUCCUCCAAGGCUAAAUACUCCUGACUGACCGAUAGUGAACCAGUACCGUGAGGGAAAGGCGAAAAGAACCCCGGCGAGGGGAGUGAAAAAGAACCUGAAACCGUGUACGUACAAGCAGUGGGAGCCUCUUAAUGGGGUGACUGCGUACCUUUUGUAUAAUGGGUCAGCGACUUAUAUUCUGUAGCAAGGUUAACCGAAUAGGGGAGCCGAAGGGAAACCGAGUCUUAACUGGGCGUUAAGUUGCAGGGUAUAGACCCGAAACCCGGUGAUCUAGCCAUGGGCAGGUUGAAGGUUGGGUAACACUAACUGGAGGACCGAACCGACUAAUGUUGAAAAAUUAGCGGAUGACUUGUGGCUGGGGGUGAAAGGCCAAUCAAACCGGGAGAUAGCUGGUUCUCCCCGAAAGCUAUUUAGGUAGCGCCUCGUGAAUUCAUCUCCGGGGGUAGAGCACUGUUUCGGCAAGGGGGUCAUCCCGACUUACCAACCCGAUGCAAACUGCGAAUACCGGAGAAUGUUAUCACGGGAGACACACGGCGGGUGCUAACGUCCGUCGUGAAGAGGGAAACAACCCAGACCGCCAGCUAAGGUCCCAAAGUCAUGGUUAAGUGGGAAACGAUGUGGGAAGGCCCAGACAGCCAGGAUGUUGGCUUAGAAGCAGCCAUCAUUUAAAGAAAGCGUAAUAGCUCACUGGUCGAGUCGGCCUGCGCGGAAGAUGUAACGGGGCUAAACCAUGCACCGAAGCUGCGGCAGCGACACUGUGUGUUGUUGGGUAGGGGAGCGUUCUGUAAGCCUGUGAAGGUGUGCUGUGAGGCAUGCUGGAGGUAUCAGAAGUGCGAAUGCUGACAUAAGUAACGAUAAAGCGGGUGAAAAGCCCGCUCGCCGGAAGACCAAGGGUUCCUGUCCAACGUUAAUCGGGGCAGGGUGAGUCGACCCCUAAGGCGAGGCCGAAAGGCGUAGUCGAUGGGAAACAGGUUAAUAUUCCUGUACUUGGUGUUACUGCGAAGGGGGGACGGAGAAGGCUAUGUUGGCCGGGCGACGGUUGUCCCGGUUUAAGCGUGUAGGCUGGUUUUCCAGGCAAAUCCGGAAAACUAAGGCUGAGGCGUGAUGACGAGGCACUACGGUGCUGAAGCAACAAAUGCCCUGCUUCCAGGAAAAGCCUCUAAGCAUCAGGUAACAUCAAAUCGUACCCCAAACCGACACAGGUGGUCAGGUAGAGAAUACCAAGGCGCUUGAGAGAACUCGGGUGAAGGAACUAGGCAAAAUGGUGCCGUAACUUCGGGAGAAGGCACGCUGAUAUGUAGGUGAAGUCCCUCGCGGAUGGAGCUGAAAUCAGUCGAAGAUACCAGCUGGCUGCAACUGUUUAUUAAAAACACAGCACUGUGCAAACACGAAAGUGGACGUAUACGGUGUGACGCCUGCCCGGUGCCGGAAGGUUAAUUGAUGGGGUUAGCGGUAACGCGAAGCUCUUGAUCGAAGCCCCGGUAAACGGCGGCCGUAACUAUAACGGUCCUAAGGUAGCGAAAUUCCUUGUCGGGUAAGUUCCGACCUGCACGAAUGGCGUAAUGAUGGCCAGGCUGUCUCCACCCGAGACUCAGUGAAAUUGAACUCGCUGUGAAGAUGCAGUGUACCCGCGGCAAGACGGAAAGACCCCGUGAACCUUUACUAUAGCUUGACACUGAACAUUGAGCCUUGAUGUGUAGGAUAGGUGGGAGGCUUUGAAGUGUGGACGCCAGUCUGCAUGGAGCCGGCCUUGAAAUACCACCCUUUAAUGUUUGAUGUUCUAACGUUGGCCCCUGAUCGGGGUUGCGGACAGUGUCUGGUGGGUAGUUUGACUGGGGCGGUCUCCUCCUAAAGAGUAACGGAGGAGCACGAAGGUUGGCUAAUCCUGGUCGGACAUCAGGAGGUUAGUGCAAUGGCAUAAGCCAGCUUGACUGCGAGCGUGACGGCGCGAGCAGGUGCGAAAGCAGGUCAUAGUGAUCCGGUGGUUCUGAAUGGAAGGGCCAUCGCUCAACGGAUAAAAGGUACUCCGGGGAUAACAGGCUGAUACCGCCCAAGAGUUCAUAUCGACGGCGGUGUUUGGCACCUCGAUGUCGGCUCAUCACAUCCUGGGGCUGAAGUAGGUCCCAAGGGUAUGGCUGUUCGCCAUUUAAAGUGGUACGCGAGCUGGGUUUAGAACGUCGUGAGACAGUUCGGUCCCUAUCUGCCGUGGGCGCUGGAGAACUGAGGGGGGCUGCUCCUAGUACGAGAGGACCGGAGUGGACGCAUCACUGGUGUUCGGGUUGUCAUGCCAAUGGCACUGCCCGGUAGCUAAAUGCGGAAGAGAUAAGUGCUGAAAGCAUCUAAGCACGAAACUUGCCCCGAGAUGAGUUCUCCCUGACUCCUUGAGAGUCCUGAAGGAACGUUGAAGACGACGACGUUGAUAGGCCGGGUGUGUAAGCGCAGCGAUGCGUUGAGCUAACCGGUACUAAUGAACCGUGAGGCUUAACCUU
rnacentral:rRNA from 1 species